rnacentral:lncRNA from 10 species
AGGGAGAGCCCAGUAAGUACAAAAGGGGUACCUAUCCUCAAGAACCACACUGAGGGUGCAACCUGAAGCUCUGUAACUCCACAGCCACUGCAUGAGCAAAGUCUCAAGGAUGCAUCCAGACAAUCCACGAACAGGAAUAGGCCAGGAGGCACAGCUCCUAGAGGCUGGAUGCUCAGAGAAGGCUUCAGAGGAGUGCAACCUUAAAUAACACCAUGGGGCCCAUACGAGGUGCCACUGAUGAUGCUGGAAGUGCUCCCCAGAAGCAGAGAAAAGCCAUGACAUCACAAGAAAAAGCCGACUUGCUUGAGAUGUACUGUAGAUUGAGGUCUGCAGCUACAGCUGCCUGACAUUUCAGAUAGACAAUUCAUCUUGCAAACAGAUGGUAAGAACUUACUUACGGUAUUGGUAAAUACAGUACAGUCCUGUACAUGUAUUUUCUCUUUCUUAUAAUUUUCCUAAUAUUUUCUUUUUUCACACUAUCUCAGAAGAAUCAAAUUUCAUUGUCUCUAGCUUACUUUAUUGUCAGAAUACAGUAUAUUUUACAGUAUAUAAUAUUGUAGGAAUACAGUAUAUAACAUACAAAAUGUAUGUUAAUGGACUGUUGGUGUUAUCAGUGAGGCUUCUGGUCAACAGUAGGCUAUUAGUAGUUAUGUUUCUGAGGCGUUGAUAUGGUUUGACUCUGUGUUCCCAAUCAAAUCUCAUGUCAAAUUAUAAUUCCCAACGUUGGGGGAGAGGCCUCGUGGGAGGUGAUUGGAUCAUGGGGGCAGAUUUCCCCUUGCUGUUCAUGACAGUGAGUGAGUUCUUACGAUAUCUGGUUGUUUAAAAGUGUGUAGCACUUCCCCCUUCACUCCCCUUCUGCUUGGCCAUGGUAAGGUGUGCUUGCUUCCUCUUUGCCUUCUGCCAUGAUUGUAAGUUUCCUGAGGCCACCUAAUGAUGCUUCCUGUACAGCCUGCAGAACUGUGAGUCAAUUAAAG